rnacentral:rRNA from 1 species
UACGUAGGGUCCGAGCGUUGUCCGGAAUUAUUGGGCGUAAAGGCUCGUAGGCGGCCAACUAAGUCAUACGUGAAAUCCCUCGGCUUAACCGGGGAACUGCGUCUGAUACUGGAUGGCUUGAGAUUGGGAGAGGGAUGCGGAAUUCCAGGUGUAGCGGUGAAAUGCGUAGAUAUCUGGAGGAACACCGGUGGCGAAGGCGGCAUCCUGGACCAACACUGACGCUGAGGAGCGAAAGCCAGGGGAGCAAACGGG